GCGGUCGUGGCGAAGUGGUUAACGCACCGGAUUGUGGCUCCGGCACACGUGGGUUCGAUCCCCAUCGAUCGCC
rnacentral:tRNA from 3 species